AAAAUAGUGUCAUUAUCAUUUAAGCUUUUUACCAGAAAAGCGAUAAACUUGCAACAAUGAUGGUUUAUUUUUGGUUAGCUACUAAAUUAUCAACAGGUAAACAUCUGAAACAGAUCAAGGUCAAACGAACACCAAACAAUAUACAAUACAUAGGACAGCGUUAUUUGUAGUGGGAAAUUCGGCCAACAAAGGAAACCGAUCAAGGUCAAACGAACAUCAAACAAGAUACAAUACACUUCAGGACAACAUUAUUUGCAGUGGGAAAUCAUUAUUAGAUUCGGAC